rnacentral:rRNA from 1 species
UACGUAGGGACCGAGCGUUGUCCGGAAUCAUUGGGCGUAAAGAGCGUGUAGGCGGCUAUUUAAGUCCUGCGUGAAAUCCUGCGGCUCAACCGCAGACGGUCGUGGGAAACUGGAUGGCUAGAGUGCGGGAGAGGAGAGUGGAAUUCCCGGUGUAGCGGUGAAAUGCGCAGAUAUCGGGAAGAACACCCGUGGCGAAGGCGGCUCUCUGGAACGCAACUGACGCUGAGACGCGAAAGCGUGGGGAGCGAACAGG